AGAGAAGAAAAGAAGAGAGGGGAGAAAGAGAAGAAGAGAGAGGGGGAGAAAGAGAAGAAAAGAGAGGAGAGGAGAAAGAGAAGAAAAGAGAGGAGCGGAGAAAGAAGAAAUUAAGGAGAGGAAAAUAACAGAUCAGUGCGCAGGUGGAAUACAUCUUCAGGUGUCAGCAGAGGGCCAGGAGGGAGAGACAAUACACUUGGUCAGGUAUUAGCAGAGGGCCAGGAGGGAGAGACAAUACACUGGGUCAGGUAUUAGCAGAGGGCCAGGAGGGAGAGACAAUACACUGGGUCAGGUAUUAGCAGAGGGCCAGGAGGGAGAGACAAUACACUGGGUCAGGUAUUAGCAGAGGGACAGGAGGGAGAGACAAUACACUGGUUCAGGUAUUAGCAGAGGGCCAGGAGGGAG
ensembl:lncRNA